rnacentral:misc_RNA from 1 species
GUGCGUGUGCGUAGUACG